GAUGAACGCUGGCGGCGUGCCUAAUACAUGCAAGUCGAGCGAACGGACGAGAAGCUUGCUUCUCUGAUGUUAGCGGCGGACGGGUGAGUAACACGUGGAUAACCUACCUAUAAGACUGGGAUAACUUCGGGAAACCGGAGCUAAUACCGGAUAAUAUUUUGAACAGCAUGGUUCAAAAGUGAAAGACGGUCUUGCUGUCACUUAUAGAUGGAUCCGCGCUGCAUUAGCUAGUUGGUAAGGUAACGGCUUACCAAGGCAACGAUGCAUAGCCGACCUGAGAGGGUGAUCGGCCACACUGGAACUGAGACACGGUCCAGACUCCUACGGGAGGCAGCAGUAGGGAAUCUUCCGCAAUGGGCGGAAGCCUGACGGAGCAACGCCGCGUGAGUGAUGAAGGUCUUCGGAUCGUAAAACUCUGUUAUUAGGGAAGAACAUAUGUGUAAGUAACUGUGCACAUCUUGACGGUGCCUAAUCAGAAAGCCACGGCUAACUACGUG
rnacentral:rRNA from 1 species